rnacentral:rRNA from 1 species
AUUGAACGCUGGCGGCAUGCCUUACACAUGCAAGUCGAACGGCAGCACGGGAGCAAUCCUGGUGGCGAGUGGCGAACGGGUGAGUAAAGGAUCGGAACGUGCCCAGUCGUGGGGGAUAAGGUAGCGAAAGUUACGCUAAUACCGCAUACGAUCUAUGGUUGAAAGCGGGGGAUCGCAAGACCCCGCGCGAUUGGAGCGGCCGAUAGCAGAUUAGGUAGUUGGUGGGGUAAAGGCUCACCAAGGCGACGAUCUGUAGCUGGUCUGAGAGGAAGACCAGGCAAACUGGGACUGAGACACGGCCCAGACUCCUACGGGGGGCAGCAGUGGGGAAUUUUGGACAAUGGGCGAAAGCCUGAUCCAGCCAUGCCGCGUGCAGGAUGAAGGCCUUCGGGUUGUAAACUGCUUUUGUACGGAACGAGAAGGUUUGGCCUAAUAAGCUGAGCUCAUGACGGUACCGUAAGAAUAAGCACCGGCUAACUACGUGCCAGCAGCCGCCGUAA